GUCAAUUAGUAAGAAAUUAUAAACAUUACAAACUUGAUAAAACAUUUAAAUGCAAUAGUAUAUCAUAUAAUGCAAUAAGAAAUCAACCUCUGACAUCUAAAUGCCAAAAAAUUUCCAUUUAAUUUUGUGAACUGCAUACUAGGCUAUUUUCAGUACUCAUCUAGCCUUCAGAACCAAUAACUAUAUUGUGAAAUUUAUUUUUUGAGAUGUUGCUAUUAGAGCUGUUACAAUUAUAUAAAGAAUCUCUUUGGGAUUAUGCUAAUGGAAUAAGGAGAGUAAAUGUAACAUUUAAUAUGAUUAAGGGUAAGUAAUAGUAGUAAUUCUUGAAAACAAGAUUUUUGUCUCUGAUAUUUUUUGAUACAAAUUUAUGGUAGUGUUGUGCCAUAUGACUUAAGCAUUUUUUUUUACUUAGAUCAGUCAUUAGACCAAUAAUUUUAUAAUUUUUGAAACUUCAUAUAAUUUAUCUAUCUAAAAUGAGAAAUACCUUUAAUUUCAAUAUUUUCUAAUUUUAACUGGCAUAAUAUAUUUUAACAGAGAAGGAGGUUUGCAUAUUUUCAGUGUUUGUCCUUGAGUAGAGACUUUAAAAAUCUUUAUGUUUGAAGCACUUUUAGAUCAUGAUAUUGAAAUUUAAAGCACAUUAACACCUUCUUCCAGAAGAGCCCUUUCUACCAGAUUCUUUUUUAUUUGUAUUUUAUAAUUGAAACGGCUCUUGUAGUGAUUUUAUAGCAAAUAAUGGGGAUAAUGUCUUUAGCUUGUGCCAUUAGUUGAGUUA
rnacentral:lncRNA from 1 species